AACGAACGCUGGCGGCAGGCUUAACACAUGCAAGUCGAGCGCCCCGCAAGGGUAGCGGCAGACGGGUGAGUAACGCGUGGGAACGUACCCUUUGCUACGGAAUAACUCAGGGAAACUUGUGCUAAUACCGUAUGUGCCCUUCGGGGGAAAGAUUUAUCGGCAAAGGAUCGGCCCGCGUUGGAUUAGCUAGUCGGUGGGGUAAAGGCCUACCAAGGCGACGACCCAUAGCUGGUCUGAGAGGAUGAUCAGCCACACUGGGACUGAGACACGGCCCAGACUCCUACGGGAGGCAGCAGUGGGGAAUAUUGGACAAUGGGCGCAAGCCUGAUCCAGCCAUGCCGCGUGAGUGAUGAAGGCCCUAGGGUUGUAAAGCUCUUUCACCGGUGAAGAUAAUGACGGUAACCGGAGAAGAAGCCCCGGCUAACUUCGUGCCAGCAGCCGCUGUAACAC
rnacentral:rRNA from 1 species